UUCCGGUUGAUCCUGCCGGAGGCCAUUGCUAUCGGAGUCCGAUUUAGCCAUGCUAGUUGCACGAGUUUAGACUCGUAGCAUAUAGCUCAGUAACACGUGGCCAAACUACCCUACAGACCGCGAUAACCUCGGGAAACUGAGGCCAAUAGCGGAUAUAACUCUCAGGCUGGAGUGCCGAGAGUUAGAAACGUUCCGGCGCUGUAGGAUGUGGCUGCGGCCGAUUAGGUAGAUGGUGGGGUAACGGCCCACCAUGCCGAUAAUCGGUACAGGUUGUGAGAGCAAGAGCCUGGAGACGGUAUCUGAGACAAGAUACCGGGCCCUACGGGGCGCAGCAGGCGCGAAACCUUUACACUGCACGACAGUGCGAUAGGGGGACUCCGAGUGUGAGGGCAUAUAGCCCUCGCUUUUCUGUACCGUAAGGUGGUACAGGAACAAGGACUGGGCAAGACCGGUGCCAGCCGCCGCGGUAAUACCGGCAGUCCAAGUGAUGGCCGAUAUUAUUGGGCCUAAAGCGUCCGUAGCUUGCUGUGUAAGUCCAUUGGGAAAUCGACCAGCUCAACUGGUCGGCGUCCGGUGGAAACUACACAGCUUGGGGCCGAGAGACUCAACGGGUACGUCCGGGGUAGGAGUGAAAUCCUGUAAUCCUGGACGGACCACCAAUGGGGAAACCACGUUGAGAGACCGGACCCGAUCGUGAGGGACGAAAGCCAGGGUCUCGAACCGGAUUAGAUACCCGGGUAGUCCUGGCUGUAAACAAUGCUCGCUAGGUAUGUCACGCGCCAUGAGCACGUGAUGUGCCGUAGUGAAGACGAUAAGCGAGCCGCCUGGGAAGUACGUCCGCAAGGAUGAAACUUAAAGGAAUUGACGGGGGAUCACCACAACC
rnacentral:rRNA from 1 species